ACCAGGGGUCGGACAAAAAGUGCGGAUGACGUAAAAAUGACGUAAUUUUGCACACCGGAUGAUGUUUGAGUUUGUAUUUAAACUUCCUAACAAAGUAGUAUUAAUGAAGUAACAAAAUAAUCGUAAAUAAAUCCAUGGAAUUAAUAAUACAGGUGGUAGGGUGAUGUAGUGAAUAAAAUAAAUUUCACGAAACUUGUUACCAUAAGGUAUAAUUAU